AUCGAUUCUUGGCCUUUUGGCUAAGAUCAGAUGUAGUAUCUCUUCUUACCAUUUUAGUAUCUGAUAUGUCCUCUAUCCAAGAACAUUAAAUGGAUUUUUGGAGGUGGGAGAUGGCAUGGGAGCUUGUUCUAUCCACUCUGCGCAUCAACCCACUAUUGCAGUACUUCAGGGAACUGUGCACCAAAA